rnacentral:sRNA from 1 species
AAUUAAACCUGAUAAAAGUGGAAGCUCCCGAUCUCACAGACAGUAAAACAGCAAUACCAUCAGGACUUUAGCGGUUAGCAGGGCUGCAA